ensembl:snRNA U4 U4 spliceosomal RNA
AGCUUUGCACGGUAUCGUAGCCAAUGAGGUUUAUCCGAGGCGUGAUUAUUGCGAAUUGAAAACUUUUCCCAAUACCCUGCCAUGAUGAUUUGAAAUAUAGUCAUUGGCAAUUUUUGACAGUCUCUAUGGAGU